rnacentral:lncRNA from 1 species
AAGAACUUAAACAAAUUUACAAGAAAAAAAAAAACACGUCAAAAUGUGGGCAAAGGAUAUGAACAGACACUUUUAAAAGAAGACAUUUAUGCAGUCAACAAACAUACGAAAAAAAGGUCAAGGUCAUUAGAGAAAUGCAAAUCACAGCCACAAUGAGAUACCAUCUCACACCAGUUUGAAUAGCGACCAUUAAAAAGUCUGGAAACAACAGAUGCUGGAGAGGAUGUGGAGAAAUAGGAACACAGUGGCUACCCAAAGAGUACAAUGCCUCAUCUCCACAUCCAUAUCUCACCCUCUCGCCUUUGGGGAACAGCUUGGGCACAGUGACCUAUGCUUUGCAGUAAGAAACUGUUUAGGCAUCAGUGGUGACACAGGUGUGCUCAGUCACGGACACUGGUCUCAGGCAGUGUCUGGAGCUUCACAUUCCAGGAUUCAGCCUCUUUCUUUGUGGAUCAUCUGGAAACAAGAAGUGUCUUCCUCGAGACUAUAAGAAAUUGAGGACAGGGGUUUUUCAGUUUCAUUUAUUGCUCUAUAACAUGGCCUGGAACAUAUACACACUCAAUAAACAUUUGUUGGAUACCAGCUGAAUACAGGCCAGUAAGAGGAUCACAGCACCUCAGGGGCAGAUUCACGAUUAGAAACUUUCUCUUAAUGUCCAGACUUAAUUAUGAUUUCCUCCAAAUAUCACGUAGUUUAGAAACUAUUUGGUUUGAAAAAAUGUUCAAACUAAUCUUAAGGAGUUAGGAGCUUUAAUUCAUAAUUAAGCAAAUAUUUAAUCCCUUUUAACUUUAAAUACCAGAGAAAGAGCAAGUAACCUGGGAACACAUACACAGAGAGGGACAAAAACUUUACUUUUAUUUAUUUAUUUUUCUUUAUCUUUUUUUUUUUCCUUGAGACAGUGUCUCACUCUGUCACCCAGGGGGAAGUGCAGUGGUAGGAUUUCAGCCCACUGCAAUCUCAAACUCCUAGGCCCAAGUAAUUAUCCCGCCUCAGCCUCCUGAGUAGCCAGGACUACAGGUGCAUACCACCAUUCCCAGCUACAUUUUAAAUUUUGUUUUGUAGAAAUGGGGUCUUGCUAUGUUGCCCAGGCUAGCCUCAAACUCUUGACCUCAAGCAGUCCUCCCACCUCGGCCUCCAAAAGUGUUGGGAUUACAGGCGUGAGCCACUGCACCCCAGCAUACGUUUAUAUUUAAAGAGAAGAGAUUAAAUUUUUUAAGUUUAAUUUAUACAAAUCAUAAUUUAAUGGUUCCAAACUCAGACUAAUUAUAAAUAAAGUAAAAUCUAGGAACAGAAUAUUUGUUGUGCUUUAUUUUUUUAUAGAAUAUUUAUAAGCCAAAUUUUCCCAAGGGAUUUUUUUGGGCCCUGGAGAAAGAGACAUAAGUUCACAUAGUAAAGAGGUAACUACUUUACAAAUAGUAGUCACAUGUAAUGAUUUCUGACUAGGUAAUAUUUUUACAAGGUUUGAAAAUCAAAGCAACUUUUUUUUUUUUUUUUUUUUUUGAGAUGGAGACUCGCUCUGUCGCCUGGGCUGGAGUGCAGUGGCCGGAUCUCAGCUCACUGCAAGCUCCGCCUCCCGGGUUUACGCUGCCUCAGCCUCCGGAGUAGCUGGGACUACAGGCGCCCGCCUAGUUUUUUCUAUUUUUUUUUUUUUUUUAGUAGAGACGGGGUUUCACCAUGUUAGUCCUAACCUCGUGAUCUGCCCGUCUCGGCCUCCAAUUUUAAAAAGUAUAUCUUGGCCGGGCGCGGUGGCUCAAGCCUGAAUUCCAGCACUUUGGGAGGCCGAGGCAGGCGGAUCACGAGGUCAGGAGAUCCAGACCAUCCUGGCUAACAGAGUGAAACCCCGUCUCUACUAAAAAUACAAAAAACUAGCCGGGCGAGGUGGCGGGCACCUGUAGUCCCAGCUACUCGGGGCGCUGAGGCAGAAGAAUGGCGUAAACUCGGGAGGCUGAGCUUGCAGUGAGCUGAGAUCCGGCCACUGCACUCCAGCCUGGACGAUAGAGCGAGACUCCGUGUCAAAAAAAAAAAAAAAAAAGUAUAUCUUGAGAAAUCUUAGUUCUACCCCAUUCCUGUCCACCUUGUCCCCACACCCAUUCUGGGUAGUCAUUUUUAUUUGUUUCUUGAUUAUCAUUCCAAAGUGUCUUUAUACAAAUAUAAAUAAUUAUAGAUUUUUGUUUUUACUUUUUCAUCUUUGUUAGUUUAAUUUAUACACAAUGCUGUUCCUUGCUUUCUCCAUUAAUAAUAAUACAGUGUGGAGAUCUCACACCAGCAUUUUAUGAAUGACCUCAUUCUUUUAAUAACUGUGUGGUGAAUCAGGUCUCUAUUGGUGGGAACUGAUAAUGUUUCUUGUUUUUUCUAUUGGAGAUGAUGCCAUAAUGAGUUUCUACAUACACUAUUUUGUAACUGAGUAGAUAGAUCUGUAAAACAGACUCCCAGAAGUGAGACUUUUGGAGCAAGGAGUAAAGUACAGUUAUCAUUUUGGUGAUUAUUGCCAAAUGUUCCUCCACAGGAGUGGUAUGCUCCACUUGCCACCAGCAGCAAUAUAUGAUUCACUGGCACUGUGUGUUGUCAAACCUUUCAGUUUCUACCAAUAUGGCCGUGAGAAAUGUUAUCUCAUUUUUAUUUCUCUUACUAUGAGUGGGGCUGAGCAUCUUUUCACAUGCUUAUGGACAUUUCUAUUUCUUGUUCUGUAUCUAUCCACUCCUGCCUUUUAACCAUUUUUCUGUGUAGUGGCUGGUCUUUUUCUUCACAGUAUUAGGAGCCUUUUAUAUAGUAGGAAAGUUACAUGUUUGUCUGUGAUGUCAGUGGCAAAUAUUUUUUCCUUGUCUAUCAACUGUCUUUUGCGUUGCCUAUUGCAGUUUUCAGGUGUUUUCUUUCCAUUCAGAAAAUAUGACUACAUUGUCCUUUCUAAACAUUACACAACCCUAGAAGGUAGCACAAUUAUUUCCAUUAUUCAGAAGACUCCAAUCUAUAGGGAUAUUAAGUAAAUUGUCCAAAACCAUACAAAUCUGACCACAGAUCUAACUUUGAAGAUGAUAUAAAAUUCAUUAUGCCAUAUUGCCCUCUCACCAUAAAGAUAAAAAAUGAGAAAAGUAAUAAAAUUAUUAUUUCACACUUUACAUUGGUUAUAUUUUUAUCCUCACACCAACUCUAUAGAUCAUUUAUUUCAUUUACAUUACAGAUAACAAUUUGAGACUACUAAAAGGGAAAUAAAUUUCCCCAGUUUGCACUGACUUUUUUCUCAUCUUCAUGGAUUUAUCUACCUUCAAUCUUUGAGGCUGCUGACCUUUGGAUGGGGUUUAACAUUAAGUGUUCCAUUGAGGACUGAAUUUUGCUUACAUUAUGGACCCUGAAACUCUUGUAAAUGGUUACAUGGCCCUCACUGAGUUGUAUACAAGGAAUCUCAGAUUUGAAUCUGUGACCCACACGUGGAAUUUGUGUGCUCACUACUCCAGACUCUUACUACUACUCUACCCUUCUUUUCCUUGUAUUUCUUUAAUUUAUC